GCGCCAUCUUGCAAACAAGGAGAAAGGAGAAGGGUGUGGGGAGGGAGGGUCAGAAAGGAGACUCAGGUCAGGACAUGACCUGACUCAGGUCAAGUCAUGUCCAUACCUGUCACACACACAGAAGGUGAAAUGAGAAGGAUGUGGGGAGGAUGAGGCAGAAAGGAGUGUCAGAUCAGGAUAUGACCUGACUCUCCCUUCUGCCCCUCCCUCCCUCCACCCUUCUCAUUUCCCUUUCUGUGUGUGUGUGUGUCAUGACAUGACCUAACUCUCCCUUCUGCCCCUCCCCCCCACACCCUUCUAAUUUCCCCUUAUGUGUGUGACGCAGACCUGGAAAACUUGCUGGUUGCCCAAGCUGCCGCCAACGCGGUGGGAAGAAAAAGUCCCAGUGUGACACCAGCUUACGGACAACCGACAACUCGCUCCCGGAUGGGCGUACGGGUGUUGCCAGUAGCCACAACAGUUAGAGGAAAAUGGCCAGUGUGACACCACCUUAAGGCAGUCUACAUACACAUUACACAGACAUGCAUAAUGCAUGUAUAUAUUAAUUACAAACACAAAUACAUACAUACACACACCGUCACACGACACACACACAUCCUCAGCCAGUGCAAAGGUGGGAAUUCUGCAAUUUAAGUCGCUAAUGGCUAAUCUGACAAUAGUGGACUAACAAAAAAAUUGCGGAAUAGCGUUAGGGAAAAAUAAAGAUCGCGGAUUUGCAGUUAGCGGAAUGCCAAAAUUAUAGUCUACUAACGCAAACUUUAAAAAACCGCCAACAGUGAAAUUUCCGGGAACUUCAAGAAUAUUCUUGAAAGUGUGGAGAAACUUUUAAGUUAGGAUGGCCAGACGUCCCGGAUUUUAAUGAUUCGCCCAAGAAAUAAAAUUGUCUCGGAAAUAUCCCGGAUUUCAUGCAGUGUCGCGGAAAAUGUUUUUUUUAUUUUAUUAAAACGUCCCGGAUUUCACUUAAGUUCAUCACCCUUGUCCCCUCCUUUGCAGCUGUGGAGAGAUUGUUCAGCUUGUGCUCUGACGUCCUCAGGCCCAAGAGGUCAUCCCUUACUCAUGAUAACAUUGAAAAGUAGGUGUUUGUCAAUGGAAACAUGCACCUCUUGAAGGGGAAGUGGCUAUGCCAGAGGGAGGAUUUUGUAUUUUGCUGUUAGCAGACUGUUGCGGACUUCAUUAGUGGACUAAAAAAUAUAUUUGCGAUUGCUGACCGAAGAAGGAGGGAGAUUUGCGGAUUAGGGAUUACCGGAAUACCCAACAAAGUUACGGAAUUGUGGAUUGCAGACUAACAAAAAAUUAACAGGUGCCCACCUCUGUCAGCCACACAAUCUCUCUCUCUCUCUCUCUCUCUCUCUCUCUCCUUGCCAGGCAGGCUGCAUCCAUUCAUGCCUACGCAAUAUUGCAUAUAUGUACCACAUACGGUACUAUUACACAGUAAAGACAUACAUACUUUUACAAAUUUACAUGAAACAUACAUACUACAUAGUCACUAUGUAAAAUUAUCUCCCUCCUUCUACUCUUCCGUAAAACUUUCGACACAUUAGGGUGGGUAUAUUUGAAAGGAAAUUAAUUAAUACAAGGUGUAAUUUUAGUAGAUAAUUAAGUAAAUAGCCUAUGCAUUACUUAAUUUUCUUCAACUUCGCAAACACUCGAUCUGCACUGAGUCUGCGACUCUGUAAUGUUUAAAGCAUAUCCGUCACAUCCUCAUUGUGUGUGGUGCAGAUGCGGAUACGGAUGCGGAUAUUUACUUCAUCGCAAAUGCGGAUGCGGAUAUCUGAUACAUGAUUAAUAUAUAUAUAUAUAUAUAUAUAUAUAUAUAUAUAUAUAUAUAUAUAUAUAUAUAUAUAUAUAUAUAUAUAUAUAUAUAUAUAUAUAUAUAUAUAUACACACACACACACACACACACACACACACUAAGAUAUCUUUAUCAAAAAUUCUAAAUUCCCGAAACCUCCAAAAUUCAUAAGUUUGAGUGGGCACAAUGUGAUGCAAACAGAACUUCCACAUUUCCAUUGAGCUGGUGCCAGCCUGUUGUCAGGAAUAGUCAUGGCUACACAUUUGUGCAUUACUAAAUGUUUUGUGCUUUUUGGUGAAGAUAUUGUUCAAAAUAUAUAGCCAAGGCCUGCAGAUACUACUAUGGGUAAAAGUGAAAAGAAAAACAGUAAGCAUAUACGUUUAUCUAUUCCAGAAAGUAAAAUUUUAAGAAAACUUGACAGCAGGGUGAGUGUGAAGCAUAUAGCUGAGGAAUGUGUUAUUGGAACAUCCACUAACUAGGACCUAAGGAACCAGGACAAAUUAUUGAAGUUCCAUCCUGAAAAUUCUGGACAAUUUAACAAAACGAGAAAUCCAUUGCACAAUGAAAAAUUAAGGGUAAACUUGCUGUGGUAUGUAAGAACUUGCUUCCACACUGUUUUAAAGAUGUGAAUACCUUUCUGGUGUAAUCCUAUGCUAAAAUAGGAGUAUGAAUCACCAGGGACAGCUUCUCUGUUUGGGUUCACAUACACACAGCACCUCAUGCACACUGCAAGGAAGUCAGUUUGAAUGUCAAGUGCAAAAUUUUGUUACUCCUUGACAAUUGUUUUGCUCAUCCUCUGAGCUUGUUUUUAUUUUUUAAUCAUCCACAAUAAUUAUGCCAUGUACUUUCCUCCAGUGUGACCCCAUUAAUUUAACCAUGUGAUCAGGGCAUCCCUUUCAAUAAAGAGCAAACAUAAACAUAAUUUCUUGAAUACCAUGUAGCCAGCAGUGAACAGAGGCAUUGGUGUGAAGGCUGGCAGAUAUGCAGCUGCCAAUGCAUGGAAUCGUGUAACUAAAGACACCAUUGCACAUGCCUGGCACAACUUCUGGCCUGUGACUAUUUUGAGCAAUGAUGAUGGACAAUAUGAAGUGUGAGGGAAUUGGCAUGUCGAGGGAGAAAAAAUAUCAUCUCAUUGCAUAAGCAAAAAAAUACACAUUCCAAGUCCAACAGUAACCGAUGAAGAGGAUAUUGCAGAAAUUCUUUACAUCUAUAUCGACACUCCAGUUGUUCAUUCAAUAACAGAUGGUGAAAUAGCUGCAAUGGUUCUGAAUCAAGGUGAUCAUGAAGGUAAUAUAAUCACAAUGAAGAUGACAUUGUUGCUACAGCAAAAAAGGUGGCCAGAAACAUGGUGAAAAUAUGGAAUAGACUUAUUGAAGGACUAGAAAAGUGUGCAUUCAUAAGAGAAAAAGAAAAAAAAUCUGCAUAGUACUUCCUCAUUCCUGUAGCAUCAGUAAAAGAAAGACCAAAACACACCAGAACCUAAACUAUUUUAUGUUCUCAUGGAAGGUGACUCCUUUCCAAACAGUAACCUUCCUUCUCCAUACUUCCCAUCUCUGCAACAUCCACUUAUGGCAGUAAACUCCAUUACAUGAAGGUAAUGAUCUUUUUUCUCUGUGCUUUAAUUAAAAAAUUUCAUUCAGAAAUGAUAUCAAUGACUUAAUUUUAUUGCUUUAUUGUCUUAUAUUUUGGGGUAAAAAACAUUUCAGGAAUCAGUUUUGGUGGCCUAAGACUGAUUAAUUGAAUCCACAUGCAUUUCAGUAGGAUAUACUGCAUUGGAUCUCUCACAUUUUCACAGCUCACACACAUCUCUGGAACCAGUCAUGUGAAAACUGAGGUACCACUGUAUACCAAAAAUUCAGAACCCCCCAAAUCUGGAACACUGCUGAUCUCGAGCAUUCCAAGUAAGGGAUACUCAACCUGUAUGUAUGCAUGUAUGUAAGAACCCUAAAUCUGGCCUUAGAUUACCCACAUGUUGUCCUGAUGACCAACCAUCAACCUGGACUCUAGAUUAACUCUAAAGAGCAUCAAGAAUGAGCUCUGGGACAGCAUGAGCUAAACAAGAUGGCACCACUAUAAAACACUUGCCUGUGCCAUAACAGGCUGGGGCUGACCACCGAAGUCCACCAAGAAAGCCAACCAGCACCAUAGGCUAAACAGGAAAAAAAAAGUUGUGCAGGUACACACUCAAAAAAGUAUCGUUACAGUUGGGUUCGACGAGUUUCCCACUGAAAAACCUGGUAGUCUCGGCAGGGUUGGUAAGCAUGUCUGUGUGCGGGGUGGCAAAUAGGACCCAGCAGAAACAUGCAUGGGAGAAGUAUUGAAUAUAGCUAAUAUCUACCUAUCUAUAUUUAGAAAGACUAUCUUUAGUCUAUCUUUAGCUAGACAUAGAUAUAGAUAGAUAGAUAUAGAUAGAAAUAGAUACUUAAAAGAAAAUAGAUUUAGAUAGAAGAAUUUAAUUAAUCUACCACGCUGGGAUAAUGACUCAACAACAAUUAUUAGAGAAUUAAUCUUGUUGGAUGCAUUUCAUGAUUGUUUCGAGACAAAUGAAUACUGUGACACGAGCAUUAUAUGCUAUACCAGUGAAACCAAGCUCAACGUUAUCUUCCCAUUUAGCUGAUAAAUCAAGUCUAUAAUUCUACUAUAAAUCUAUCAUUAAGGGUAAUCUUAGGUAACUUCCUAGGGUCAGUGGAAGCAUAUGUGGCGAUCAGUCAGUGGGAUUCACUCUGUUAUCCAAGUCCUGAGUGACUGAUCAUUUAUGGAGUGUCAAAUGAUUUGGUCAGUAGUGAGGUCAACAUAACACACAACUUGUUCGUCUCAUUCACCAUGGUAAGCACACAAGCUACACGACUUGUGUGUGAAGUGUGAAAGCACAAUUUCAUUAUGCAAACACGACAAUAUUAUAGUGCUACAACACAGAUCAAAUUACUAGUACUUGCUCAAAUAGGGUUCUGCCUGUGUUUCAUGCAGCAUUACUGUGGUAGCUCAAAUCCUAUUAUUUCAUUCAUGAGUGCUGCCCCCUUGCUUCAGGCAGGUGCACCGCUCCAAACACUGAGACACCAACAUAGUAGCCUGUUAUCAAUAGAUCCGUCCUUGGUGUCGGUUUGUGUUGUGCUGUGUAACGAUACUUUUUGGAGUGUGUAUACAAGAGGACACUGUUGAUUAGCUGAUGGAAUGGAAACAUUCUUCACAACUGAACUUCACAAUUUUACGCUCUCAAUCUAGAGAUCCUAUCUCUGCAACAAGUAAAACAAAGUACAAAUCUAGAAUAUGAAUAUAAUGAAUGCAGUUGUCACGGAGUGGUGUGGUAUGAGGUGUGCAGUGAGGAAGAUUAUUUAGAAUAUUAGUUAGAACACUUUGCUUUAAUGUAUUUGAGGAAAAUGUAAAAAGCAUUUCUAGUGAAAUUUUCGUUAAAAAUAUCAUCUGAAUAAAGAAAGUUCAUGAACUGAUAUAUCUUUUUAAAGCAAAUCAAAGAUUGAGCCUAUCAUGAACAGUCUCCCUUUUCAUCAUUAGUUCUCCAGCCCUGUAGAGGACACUUGAAAAUCAUAACAAUAACUGACUAGACUUGUAUGGUUGAUUUUAUAAUAGUAGAGAACAGCAAAAGUAAAAUAAACUAAGCACUUCAUUCUAAGCUAAUGUGAUGUUAAUUCAAACCCAUUCUGCUGAGUUACUUGGGGACACAUCUCAAAGAAGCACAUGCAUGUAUACACUCAACCAUGCACAGCUGAGUAUGCUCACACUUUUAUACACACACACACACACACACACACAGAAAAAUACAUAUGUACUAAUUUACAAAUGUUAACUUUAGCUAGUCCAUUAAUUUGAAUACAAGUAAGAAAUGAAGAUAAAAAUGGAUGAUGCACCUUCCACAUGCUUUGCUUAUUGCUUUCAAGAUAUUGUAUCCUUAGGAAUUAAAUGUGCCAAACAAUAUCCUGGGAUUCCUCAUUAUUUGCACGUUCCUCAGGCAAUACAUUCAGUUAUAUGUACAUAUCAGUCCUCAACACUUUGUGAUGCAUGCUCUCCAGUUGCCAGUUCUAUGUAUAUAUGCUGUGAGAUUGCAUGUAAGAGUAUACAUUAGCAGACUAUAUUUAAAUCUGAAUAAAAGGGAGUACCUAUUCUCCACUGUAUGGAGGACUGCUAUGUUUGGAUGCCCAGAAUCAACAACCAAAAUGUUGGAUGCUUCAGCGCUGCUGCACACAGUAUCCAUUGUCUACAUGCUCUAGCUGACCACCUGGUUGUACUCAUGUUCCAGUUGUCAAGAAUUGUUACUAUACUCUUAUAGACAGAAACAAGCAUUAGUAAAUCAUUCCCAGUUGUAUUAUAAUUUUCAGCUCCUGGAGAAAUAAAAAGAAAAUGGCAGACGCUUAGUCACUGCCGCCAGCGAUGUGUGUCCUUGGUUUACUUAUACUUCAGGUUUUUUAAUAGCAUGUUUUUAUACCAAUCAAUUUUAUAUAUAUGUAAAGCUCACAUUUAUUUCAAUGUUUGAUGUUACAAGUGUUUUGGGUCUUCAUUUAGAAGUUUGAUGUUGUAUUAUCUGAAAAGAAACAAGCCAUAGGAACAUAACUCUUGUAUAUUUCAGUUAGCCUAUGAUAAAAUUAGAUUCAGUAUAUGAAUUUGCAAGUAUCUGGCAAAAAUACAAGUGAAUACCCUGCACUUGACACAAAAACAUUUUUCAUGAAUACUUAUACACUUUAUCAACACUGUAGCGAUAUUUAAAAAAAACAUGAAAAGAAUAUCUCAAGAAACAUACAGUAGGAUCUUACCAAUAACAAUAUCUAAAGUAAUGUUUUGGAUAACAACAGCAAGUCAAAAUAUAUACCAAGCUUCUAUGAUAAGAUUUAGAUUUUUUUAAUAACUGGUUUUUUUUAUUUUUUAUUUUUUUUUUAUGAAAGGAAGCAUCUGGGAUUAACAUGGAAAGAGCUUGUGCAGCCAUCCUGAUGAUGUAUUCAGACUUUCACCCUGGUUCUAUAAUGUAUAUCAAUGUUACACAAAAAAUGUUUUUGUAAAUAACUGUCUUUCAGGCACCAAUUAGAUGUUAUUACCAAAAUCCUACUGUACUUGUUUCCACUGAAAACAUAAAUAUAAGUUACUCUUCACUACCAUCACCUGCAAAGCUAUGCAAUUUGUGUCUAUGACCAGCAUCCCUUUUCUUCAUGCCUCAAGUAUUGGAGGCAAACAACCUACUUAAGACCAGUGUCUAUGACCCACAUCACUCUCUUCAUACCUCAAAUAACCUACUUGAUACCAGUUACAUUAUUACAAUGAUAAAUGGCUUGGACCUGUUACUGAUACACAAACCUAAAUAGAGACUGAUACUUGGCUGACAGAAAAACUACUUCAGAUUCUAAUACAUUAGACCUUUAUAAUUAGUUAAAACAGGUCUCUCAGAGACUUGUUCCAUUGUAAUAAUUCUCAAAUACAACUUAUUCUCUCCUAAUUCUUUAUUAGGUCUAAUAACUCUGGACACUUUUAUGAAGAUGAAUUAUGCAGCCUCAGACAUAUUACAGUACCAGUCAAUGUAAUGGAGAUACAAUUUGUUCUGUUGAAAUUGUUUAUGAAACAAACUCCAAUAUAUAUAUAUAUAUAUAUAUAUAUAUAUAUAUAUAUAUAUAUAUAUAUAUAUAUAUAUAUAUAUAUAUAUAUAUAUAUAUAUAUAUAUAUAUAUAUAUAUAUAUAUAUAUAUAUAUAUAUAUAUAUAUAUAUAUAUAUAUAUAUAUAUAUAUAUAUAUAUAUAUAUAUAUAUAUAUAUAUAUAUAUAUAUAUAUAUAUAUAUAUAUAUAUAUAUAUAUAUAUAUAUAUAUAUAUAUAUAUUUCUUUUUUUUCUGGUGACUAUGAGUAUCAAGUGUUUGCAGCAUAACCCCAAAGGAAUGUAGUUAAUCUAUUUUUUUUGUUUUCUGGUGAUUGGGACCAUCAAGUGUAUUGCUACAUAACCCUAAAGGAAUGUACUUCCUAUUGUAUGAGCACCUGUCUUCCUACCUGGUGCAUAUCAUUAUGAUAUAUAUGAGCCACUUGAGUGAAAAAUAUCCCUCUCCUAAAGUAGCUGAACAUUUUUGUAUAACCAAACUACACACAAAGAAAAUUAUAAUGGAAAACAGAACACUUGGGUUUUCUUCCUCAUCAGAAGAUAAGACGUGUUCAUCAUGUCUUUGAUGCACAAUAUCUUUAAAGAAAAGCUAAUCAUGAAUGCACACCAAUGUGUAUAUGCAUGAAUGUGUGUAUGUGUGUGUGUUUAAUUUACCACGACCUGAUCACAAGCUGGACUCGUCAUCGCCAGCAAGUAACCUCCCAACAAGAGCAAGGCUCAUUGAAGUCAAUCUCUGGGUACUACCGGGACCUUCACACACCACACACCCCACUCAAGGGGGGACAGUAACCCCUUCUUGUUAGCAGAAAAAUCCCGGUCUGAGAGGGGCUCUAACCUCCGCCUGCCAGGUGUGACAGCACAGAGCUUUACCAUUGAGCUAUUGGAGCGGUGUGUGUGUAUUUACCUAGUUGUAGUUUUACAGGGCUUUAUGCUCGUGUGGUCCCGUCUCCGUAUCUAUAUUUAUCCAACUUUUCCUUAAAGCUUUGCACACUCCUCGCUGAUAUUACAUCCUCACUCAGUCUGUUCCAAACCUCUAUAUUUCUUUGCGGGAAGCUAUAUUUUUUUAUGCCUCUCAAGCAUCUUCCCUUCCUCAAUUUUUUUACUAUGUCCUCUUGUGUUACCGGUGGUAAUUUCUUCUUUAGUGUGUGUGUGUGUGUGUGUGUGUGUGUGUGUGUGUGUGUGUGUUUACAUAAUUGUGAUGUAUAGGAAGUGAGCUACACUUGUGGGGUCCGGUCUGCAAAUCUUCUAUUAUCAAGUUUAGGUUUAAAUUCAUUAUCUAUUUACUGUUUAUUGUAUUAUGUGUUGUUUACUUAUUUUCUUUUCAAAAUAUAGCCCCUAAAAAUGGGGUGGGUCUUCAAUGCUGGCAAAUAUGGUACUGAAAUGACUCGGGUCACAGUGCUGACUGCACCUAUCCACGCAUGUCAGAUUGCCGGUUCCACACCAAUGUCUCCAAUGUACCCAGCAAUAAACAUUAUGUUUCUUUGCUGAGGUUACAAGUGCCAAGAUGACAGAGUAAGCCAAAUGAGUUGGGGAGUUGAUACAUGGGGAAAAGCUAAGGGAGUACCUGUAUUUUGUAAACAUUAUGGCAGGCAAGAUGUAGCAGCAAUACAAGUGUAACCAGUGUCACCAUUUCUGUUUCCUCUUGCCUCCUGCGAAUGUUUUGUUCAACACAUUGUAGGACUACAUUCACUAGAGCACAUUAUGGCAAAUACCGCUCGUGGGGGGAGGGGGUGACUGACCAACUGGCCCAGCUGGACAAUGGAUUAGCUGUGCUCAGCUAAAACUGCAUCCCACACAACACCCCCACACCAUCUCUUGUAAGCGACCCUUUACUGGAAGCAGUCGCAAUCAUAAUACUUGAAAGAAACAUUAUCACGAGGCAAGAAGUAGAAGAGGUUACAAUGGCCACACCCAUAUACAGUAGAUCCCUGACAUUUGUAGAUUAACUUGCUGUUUUACAAGUGACUAAUUAUCCUGGACCAAAACACACUCCGUUCUUUCUUUUGUGAUAUUUAUAUUUGUAUUUAUAUAUAUAUAUUUUUUUUUUGUGUGUGUGGUGUGUGUGUGUGUGUGUGUGUGUAUUGUCAUACUUUAAUUGUUAUAUAUCAAAUUCUGACAAUGAUGUACUACCUCAAACUCUAUCUUCCAUGUUCCACAUAUGGACAUUAGCUUAAGAGUACUCAACAACUAAGACUUUUAUAGAGGAGACACUGCAAGAGAUGACAAUGGAGGACUUGUAAUCCCCUCUUAUAAAACAUUUUCUUCCACUUGAGUUUACCAUCACUCACCACAAGUGGGAAAGGGAUUGUUGUAUAAAAAUAUAAAUAAAUCAUUAACAGAGCAUGAUGAUACAUAUUUUUUUUCUUCUAUUUUCAAUGUGUUAACCCAUUGUGCCUGCAAGUUUAAUUGAAGGGACCUGGUGCUAAGCCCAAGUCCAUUACUGUCAAAAUCUUUCUUUACACCAUUGCUUAUAGAUUAUGCCAAUAAUCUUUUAGCACAUAGAUCCAUCCAAUUCACCAAACCUAGUAUGCUCUUCUGAUUGGCUUGCAAAAUCUCAAUAAAGUCAGCUUAGAAUAAAAGCGCAUCUCAUUAGAUUCCAUGGAGAAAAAAAAAGGUAAAAUGUUGUGCAUGUCAUAAAUUUUUUAGGGAAAAUAACCAAAAUAAUAAAGGCUUUCAAAAAUUAAGGAAGUUUCAUAAGAGAACAGAUCACACCAAGUUCAACAGCUGAUUAGAAGGCUAGGCAGGGAAUAGUGAGAAAGUGUAUCAUUCCAUCCACCAUUAUGCAGCCUUUCUUCCUCUCAUCACUUGAUUGUCAACUAACUCCUCUUACUCUGAGUGAAUAUGAACAUCCCUUGCAACUUUCAUGCCUAUAUAUUUUCUUUACCACCUAAGGCAUUCCCCCACACAUAUCCUUGAGAAUCAAAGAGUCUGAGAUCCUCAUGUCACAGCAUGCCUGUUAACAAUGUUUUUUUUCGUUACAUGAACAUUUGCUGUCCAUACACAAAAAUUAAUUCACGAUCUGUUGCCCCUCCGACUUCUUAACUUUUCAGAUGUCUCUCCAUCUACAGGAGUGAUUGGAAGGAACAGCUUACAGAAUGAAGCACUAAUUUCUCACAUAGCAAGGCUUACUAUAUCAUCAUCACAAGUAGAAGUCCUAUCACAAUGUACUACAUGCAAUAUUUAGAUUAAAACUGAUUAAAACAGUUCUAGACAUUAUUAGCUGUAAGACUAACAAUGUAUUUUGCAGCCUAUAAGAUGCAUUUCUCCAACAUUAACACCCUUAAAAAUCACUUUGUAUCUUACCUUAAAGACUAGCAGCACUUUCAUCCAAACCUAACUUACACUCUGCAUCUUAUGGGGGGCAAAAUGCAAUGAUGUGAAGAGUAUAUCAUCCUCAAAAAUCACAUAUACCAAACAGGUAUUGUGGGUCUUGAUAAUAUACAACAAUAAUAAUAUUGAUAAAAAUAAUAAUAAUAAUAAUAAUCAUUAUUAUUAUUAUCAUAAUAGAAAUACAAAAAUAAUGUUUCAAAUCAUUUUGGUUACAUACUAUAGAGUGAAAUAUAACUCCUUACCCAACAAGGAAAGAUUUCAUAAUCUAAAUUGCUCAUGCAUAUAAAAAAAGGGAAAACAUGUAAGACAAUGCAACAUAACCUAUUCUACACACGUGAAAGCAAUCAAAAUGUGUGUAACCACAAAGUUCAAACAAACAAAUUGAAGGCCACCUCAGAGGCUUCCUUAUAAAGAUUUAUUCACUUUAAGCCACUAUAUGUUCAAGACUUAAUAUCUGCCCAAAUUCACAAUUCAUAUAUUAUGGAAAAUGUGCAUCUGUAUGAACAAACACCAGUGAAUAUACAUUCCCUCCUCCUAAAGGGAACAGGACUCAAAAGACCCUUGUUACUCCCAAUCCUUGUAUCCAUCCCACACUUUCUGGAAUAAGCUUUACACAAAUUUCUUGCACAUCACUAAGGUACAUCAUACAUGUCAAGUAUCCUAGAUGAAAUAUCAGUAUAAAUUCGAUCAUAUAAAUAUUUAUACCUCAAAAUCACUUCUUAAAUUUAUAUAUCACCACAAUAUGUUUUUGGCACUGUGUUUUAUAAUCAAAUAUACAUAAUGCAACUUCUCUAAUUUACUGUGCAUCAUACAGAUUCAGCAAGACUAACUAAACUAUAUGUUUAAUUCACCUUUGGAUCAGUGUCCUAUUAUACCCAAUGAAGGUAGAAAAAAAUAUAUAGUAUAUUUAAUAAUAAUAAUAAUAACAAUAAUAAUAAUGGUAAUAAUAAUAAUAAUAAUAAUAAUAAUAAUAAUAAUAAUAAUAAUAAUAAUAACAUAAAUAAUAAUAAUACAGCAA